rnacentral:rRNA from 1 species
UACGUAGGGGGCAAGCGUUGUCCGGAUUUAUUGGGCGUAAAGGGCGCGUAGGCGGCCACGCACGUCCGUUGUGAAAUCGCCCGGCUCAACUGGGCGGGGUCGGCGGAUACGGCGUGGCUGGAGCAAGCUAGGGGGCAAUGGAAUUCCCGGUGUAGUGGUGGAAUGCGUAGAUAUCGGGAGGAACACCAGUGGCGAAGGCGGUUGCCUGGAGCUUUGCUGACGCUGAGGCGCGAAAGCGUGGGGAGCAAACAGG